rnacentral:rRNA from 1 species
UACGAGGGGGGCAAGCGUUGUUCGGAAUUAUUGGGCGUAAAGGGUGCGUAGGCGGUCUGACAAGUCUGAUGUGAAAUCCCUGGGCUCAACCCAGGGCCUGCAUCGGAAACUGUCGGGCUUGAGUAUGGGAGAGGUGAGUGGAAUUUCCGGUGUAGCGGUGAAAUGCGUAGAUAUCGGAAGGAACACCUGUGGCGAAAGCGGCUCACUGGACCAUAACUGACGCUGAGGCACGAAAGCUAGGGGAGCAAACAGG